AUUUAUCAGUUAUGUGAGUCAUCACUAAUAUUACCAGAUUCCACAGAAAUGGCAGAUACUAAAGGUCCAUAUGAUCCUUUAAUUGGAGCUGCUGUUGU